CAGAGAGAAGCUUGCUUCUCUGCUGACGAGCGGCGGACGGGUGAGUAAUGCUUGGGUAUCUGCCUUGUGGUGGGGGACAACAGUUGGAAACGACUGCUAAUACCGCAUAAUCUCUACGGAGCAAAGUGGGGGACCUUCGGGCCUCACGCCACAAGAUGAACCCAAGUGGGAUUAGCUAGUUGGUAAGGUAACGGCUUACCAAGGCGACGAUCCCUAGCUGGUCUGAGAGGAUGACCAGCCACACUGGAACUGAGACACGGUCCAGACUCCUACGGGAGGCAGCAGUGGGGAAUAUUGCACAAUGGGCGCAAGCCUGAUGCAGCCAUGCCGCGUGUGUGAAGAAGGCCUUCGGGUUGUAAAGCACUUUCAGUCGUGAGGAAAGGUAACGUGUUAAUAGCACGUUGCUGUGACGUUAGCGACAGAAGAAGCACCGGCUAACUCCGUGCCAGCAGCCGCGGUAAUACGGAGGGUGCGAGCGUUAAUCGGAAUUACUGGGCGUAAAGCGCGUGUAGGUGGCUUGUUAAGCCAGAUGUGAAAGCCCCGGGCUCAACCUGGGAACUGCAUUUGGAACUGGCAGGCUAGAGUUUUGUAGAGGGUGGUAGAAUUUCAGGUGUAGCGGUGAAAUGCGUAGAGAUCUGAAGGAAUACCGGUGGCGAAGGCGACCACCUGGCCAAUAACUGACACUGAGACGCGAAGGCGUGGGUAGCAAACGGGAUUAGAUACCCCGGUAGUCCACGCAGUAAACGAUGUCUAUUAGGAGUUUGUGGCUAUAUGCCGUGGGCUCCAAAGCUAACGCAUUAAAUAGACCGCCUGGGGAGUACGGCCGCAAGGUUAAAACUCAAAUGAAUUGACGGGGGCCCGCACAAGCGGUGGANCAUGUGGUUUAAUUCGAUGCAACGCGAAGAACCUUACCUACUCUUGAC
rnacentral:rRNA from 2 species